rnacentral:rRNA from 1 species
CCUACGGGAGGCAGCAGUGAGGAAUAUUGGUCAAUGGGCGCGAGCCUGAACCAGCCAAGUCGCGUGAGGGAAGACGGUCCUAUGGAUUGUAAACCUCUUUUGUCGGGGAGCAAAAGACGCCACGCGUGGCGUUCCGAGAGUACCCGAAGAAAAAGCAUCGGCUAACUCCGUGCCAGCAGCCGCGGUAAUACGGAGGAUGCGAGCGUUAUCCGGAUUUAUUGGGUUUAAAGGGUGCGCAGGCGGAAGAUCAAGUCAGCGGUAAAAUUGAGAGGCUCAACCUCUUCGAGCCGUUGAAACGGGGUUUCUUGAGGGAGUGAAGGGUAGGCGGAAGGCGGGGGGGAGCGGGGAAAUGCAGAGA